AAAUGGGGACGGUCUGAUAUGGAUUUCUUGGACCUGUUACUAAGUGUCGACACGGAAGGAUAUAUCAUGUCUAAUAUUUAUCGGAAAAAGACAUCUACUAACUCUGUCUUACACGCAACUUCCUCUCAUCCGAAACCCCUUGUGGCUAAUAUCCCCGUAGGCCAAUUCCUGCGAUUGAAGCGGAUUUGUUCAUCACCUUCCUUCUUUGAAGAGCAAGCUGCAGACUUAAAAAAUCGCUUCAAGGAGAGAGGAUACAACAAGAAGGACAUCCAGAGAGGAUAUCUCAGAGCCAAAGAAACAUCUAGAACCAAUCUACUGGCCCACACAACGAAGAAACCUGCUGACGAUCAGGGAGCUGAGAAGACGCAUCCGGGAACAUGUCUUGGGCAUUGAAGCUGCUAAAAAUGAAGAUGACAUGAAUCUAUUGAAGACAAUACCAAGACAUUUUAAGGAGUACCACUCACGUGACAGUAGUCUUCUGAAGUUUGGUCUGUGUGUCUUUUAGCUCCUGGAAGAAGUGUCAGCUUUACGUGGACCCGAAGGCACUAGUGAAGCACCUUUUUAUGGCAAGAUGACCUACUGAGUGUGUCAUAAUAUGGCCUUGAUUGUCCCAUUUUAAUAUUUAGUAUGAUACCCCUAGGGGUAUGAUGGGUGGGGCAUGCCUGAUAUAUAUAAAAAUUUUAUCACAUUUAUUCUCAUGAUAACAAUUUUAUAGCUAGAUCAGUAUAUGUAUUUAUAUCUAUUAUAGUUGUUUCUAUAUAUUGCAACUUAUUUUAAUGCACCUUUUUUGAUAACAGUCUAUCUAUAUAGCA